rnacentral:rRNA from 1 species
CAUGGGGUAGCAAUACCCUGAUGGCGACCGGCAAACGGGUGCGGAACACGUACGCAACCUUCCUUUAACUGGAGAAUAGCCCCUCGAAAGAGGGAUUAAUACUCCGUAACAUGAUGAUAAGGCAUCUUAUUAUUAUUAUAGCUCCGGCGGUUAGAGAUGGGCGUGCGCCUGAUUAGGUAGUUGGCGGGGUAACGGCCCACCAAGCCUGCGAUCAGUAACUGGUGUGAGAGCACGACCAGUCACACGGGCACUGAGACACGGGCCCGACUCCUACGGGAGGCAGCAGUAAGGAAUAUUGGUCAAUGGACGCAAGUCUGAACCAGCCAUGCCGCGUGGAGGAUUAAGGCCCUCUGGGUUGUAAACUCCUUUUAUCUGGGAAGAAAUUCCCGCAUUCUUGCGGGAUUGACGGUACCAGAGGAAUAAGCACCGGCUAACUCCGUGCCAGCAGCCGCGGUAAUACGGAGGGUGCAAGCGUUAUCCGGAUUCACUGGGUUUAAAGGGUGCGUAGGCGGGUAAGUAAGUCCGUGGUGAAAUCUCUGAGCUUAACUCAGAAACUGCCGUGGAUACUAUUUGCCUUGAAUAUUGUGGAGGUGAGCGGAAUAUGUCAUGUAGCGGUGAAAUGCUUAGAUAUGACAUAGAACACCAAUUGCGAAGGCAGCUCACUACACAAUCAUUGACGCUGAGGCACGAAAGCGUGGGGAUCAAACAGGAUUAGAUACCCUGGUAGUCCACGCCCUAAACGAUGAUUACUCGACAUCAGCGAUACACUGUUGGUGUCUGAGCGAAAGCAUUAAGUAAUCCACCUGGGAAGUACGAUCGCAAGAUUGAAACUC